rnacentral:tRNA from 2 species
GGAGAAGUGACCGAGAGGCCGAUGGUGCUCCCCUGCUAAGGGAGUAUGCGGAAACGCAUCAGGGGUUCGAAUCCCCUCUUCUCCGCCA